ensembl:snRNA U6 U6 spliceosomal RNA
GUGCUUGUUUCUGCAGCACAUGUACUAAAAUUGGAACGAUACAGAGAUUAGCAUGGCUCCUAUGCAUGACGUGCAAAUUCACGAAAUGUUUCAUAUUUUA